GAGCAUUCCUUCCUGACUGGCGGCCAGAAGCCUGACAGAGAUAUUUUUGCUGACAUUCUUGGGUGUCAGAAGUGGGAUCUGAAGUGACGUUCCCCCCACCACCCUGAGGACCUUUUCCUGCACUGUCCAGAACCAAUGCAUCAGCACCUGCAAGAGCCCCUCAAGCUCUUUUAGUGCUCAGUUGCUCCUUUAUGGUGUUGAGAGACCUGCAGAUGCACCAUUUGCUCCUGCGAGCUACGCCGUAUUCAGGAGAGCCUUAUUUUGCCUGUUAAACAGUUAGGUCCCUCUGUCUGCAA
rnacentral:lncRNA from 1 species